rnacentral:rRNA from 1 species
GACGAACCGGGCGAACGUUGUUCGGAAUAACUGGGCUUAAAGGGUGCGUAGGCGGGUCCGCCAGUCUGUGGUGAAAUCCUCCCGCUCAACGGGAGAACCGCCGUGGAUACUGCGGACCUCGAGGAAGAUAGGGGCGUGCGGAACAGUUGGUGGAGCGGUGAAAUGCGUUGAUAUCAACUGGAACUCCGGUGGCGAAGGCGGCACGCUGGGUCGUUUCUGACGCUGAGGCACGAAAGCUAGGGGAGCAAACGGG